rnacentral:rRNA from 1 species
UACGUAGGUGACCAGCGUUGUCCGGAUUUACUGGGCGUAAAGAGCGCGCAGGCGGUCGUUCAAGUCGAGUGUGAAAGCCCCCGGCUCAACUGGGGAGGGUCACUCGAUACUGAUCGACUGGAAGGCAGGAGAGGGAAGCGGAAUUCCCGGUGUAGUGGUGAAAUGCGUAGAUAUCGGGAGGAACACCAGUGGCGAAGGCGGCUUCCUGGCCUGUUCUUGACGCUGAGGCGCGAAAGCUAGGGGAGCAAACGGGGAUUAGAA